rnacentral:rRNA from 1 species
UGGGGAAUUUUGGACAAUGGGCGCAAGCCUGAUCCAGCCAUGCCGCGUGCGGGAAGAAGGCCUUCGGGUUGUAAACCGCUUUUGUCAGGGAAGAAAUCUUCUGAGUUAAUACCUCGGGAGGAUGACGGUACCUGAAGAAUAAGCACCGGCUAACUACGUGCCAGCAGCCGCGGUAAUACGUAGGGUGCAAGCGUUAAUCGGAAUUACUGGGCGUAAAGCGUGCGCAGGCGGUUUUGUAAGACAGAGGUGAAAUCCCCGGGCUCAACCUGGGAACUGCCUUUGUGACUGCAAGGCUUGAGUGCGGCAGAGGGGGAUGGAAUUCCGCGUGUAGCAGUGAAAUGCGUAGAUAUGCGGAGGAACACCGAUGGCGAAGGCAAUCCCCUGGGCCUGCACUGACGCUCAUGCACGAAAGCGUGGGGAGCAAACAGGAUUAGAUACCCUGGUAGUCCACGCCCUAAACGAUGUCAACUGGUUGUUGGGGAAGGUUCCUUCUCAGUAACGUAGCUAACGCGUGAAGUUGACCGCCUGGGGAGUACGGCCGCAAGGUUGAAAC